CGGGGUGAGUAACGCGUGGGUAACCUACCCUGUACACACGGAUAACAUACCGAAAGGUAUGCUAAUACGGGAUAAUAUAUUUGAGAGGCAUCUCUUGAAUAUCAAAGGUGAGCCAGUACAGGAUGGACCCGCGUCUGAUUAGCUAGUUGGUAAGGUAACGGCUCACCAAGGCGACGAUCAGUAGCCGACCUGAGAGGGUGAUCGGCCACAUUGGAACUGAGACACGGUCCAG
rnacentral:rRNA from 1 species